rnacentral:rRNA from 1 species
AACGAACGCUGGCGGCAGGCUUCAUACAUGCAAGUCGCGCGAUUAAAGCCCUUUCGGGGGUAUAUAAAGCGGCGAACGGGUGAGUAACAGGUGGAUAAUCUGCCUUUCGGUGGGGGACAACGGCUGGAAACGGCCGCUAAUACCGCAUGUGGUUGUUGGAACAUAAGUUCCGGCAAAGAAAGGGGCUUCACGGCCCCGCCGAAAGAUGAGUCCGCCCCCCAUUAGCUAGUUGGUGAGAUAAUAGCCCACCAAGGCUUCGAUGGGUAGCCGAGCUGAGAGGUUGAUCGGCCACACUGGAACUGAGAUACGGUCCAGACACCUACGGGUGGCUG